rnacentral:lncRNA from 1 species
CCGGUAGCAUAAGAAUAAUUUUUUAUACCAAUCAAUGUAACCAUCUAGCAAUGGUGACCCAACGAUCGGAUAGGUCGAAGUAUUGCAAAGCAACCUUCUAGAAUCUACUGGCGUAUGGUUACCGUAUAAUUUAUCCCUUUGACCCAAAUACUCAAAGUGACUUAGGAUUUAACUGUCAACCCUAAUUUAGUCAACCAUAUUGUAUUUCAACCUUUCAAAUCCAUCUCAUAG